rnacentral:rRNA from 1 species
AGAGUUUGAUCCUGGCUCAGGAUGAACGCUAGCGACAGGCUUAACACAUGCAAGUCGAGGGGCAGCGAGGGAGUGGCAACACUUCUGUCGGCGACCGGCGCACGGGUGAGUAACGCGUAUGCAACCUGCCCUUCACAGGGGGAUAACCGGGAGAAAUUCCGACUAAUACCGCAUACGUCCUCCGGGGGCAUCCCCGGGGGAUGAAAGAGUUAUCGGUGAAGGAUGGGCAUGCGUGAUAUUAGGUAGUUGGCGGGGCAACGGCCCACCAAGCCCACGAUAUCUAGGGGUUCUGAGAGGAAGGUCCCCCACAUUGGUACUGAGACACGGACCAAACUCCUACGGGAGGCAGCAGUGAGGAAUAUUGGUCAAUGGACGAGAGUCUGAACCAGCCAAGUCGCGUGAAGGAAGACGGAUCUAUGGUUUGUAAACUUCUUUAGUGCGGGAACAAAGCGGCGUCGUGACGCCGGAUGAGUGUACCGCAAGAAUAAGCAUCGGCUAACUCCGUGCCAGCAGCCGCGGUAAUACGGAGGAUGCGAGCGUUAUCCGGAUUUAUUGGGUUUAAAGGGAGCGCAGGCUGCGAGGCAAGUCAGCGGUCAAAUGUCGGGGCUCAACCCCGGCCUGCCGUUGAAACUGUCUUGCUAGAGUUCGAGUGAGGUAUGCGGAAUGCGUUGUGUAGCGGUGAAAUGCAUAGAUAUGACGCAGAACUCCGAUUGCGAAGGCAGCAUACCAACUCGCGACUGACGCUGAGGCUCGAAAGCGUGGGUAUCGAACAGGAUUAGAUACCCUGGUAGUCCACGCAGUAAACGAUGAAUACUAACUGUUCGGAGGGCGACCUCUGAGUAGUAAAGCGAAAGCGUUAAGUAUUCCACCUGGGGAGUACGCCGGCAACGGUGAAACUCAAAGGAAUUGACGGGGGCCCGCA